GUUGAACGCUGGCGGCAGGCUUAACACAUGCAAGUCGAGCGGAGAUGAGGUGCUUGCACCUUAUCUUAGCGGCGGACGGGUGAGUAAUGCUUAGGAAUCUGCCUAUUAGUGGGGGACAACAUUCCGAAAGGAAUGCUAAUACCGCAUACGUCCUACGGGAGAAAGCAGGGGAUCUUCGGACCUUGCGCUAAUAGAUGAGCCUAAGUCGGAUUAGCUAGUUGGUGGGGUAAAGGCCUACCAAGGCGACGAUCUGUAGCGGGUCUGAGAGGAUGAUCCGCCACACGGGGACGGAGACACGGCCCAGACUCCUACGGGAGGCAGCAGUGGGGAAUAUUGGACAAUGGGGGGAACCCUGAUCCAGCCAUGCCGCGUGUGUGAAGAAGGCCUUAUGGUUGUAAAGCACUUUAAGCGAGGAGGAGGCUACUGAGACUAAUACUCUUGGAUAGUGGACGUUACUCGCAGAAUAAGCACCGGCUAACUCUGUGCCAGCAGCCGCCGUAACAC
rnacentral:rRNA from 1 species